GCGGCAGCAGCAGCGGCGGUGCGGAGAGCUUGGACUGGGAGCCCAAAGCUCGGCUGGGCAGCGGGAGAGGAGGAGCCGCAAGAGCUGCAGCUCUGCCAGCUUGGGCCGAGCCUAGAGACACCGGCCGGGCUGGUCCACGCCAGCUGCAGACCGUGGCUGAGCAUGGAGCUGUCCCCCCGCAGUCCUCCGGAGAUGCUGGAGGAGUCGGAUUGCCCGUCACCCCUGGAGCUGAAGUCAGCCCCCAGCAAGAAGAUGUGGAUUAAGCUUCGGUCUCUGCUGCGCUACAUGGUGAAGCAGUUGGAGAAUGGGGAGAUAAACAUCGAGGAGCUGAAGAAAAACCUGGAGUACACAGCUUCUCUACUGGAAGCCGUCUACAUAGAUGAGACACGGCAAAUCUUGGACACGGAGGACGAGCUGCAGGAGCUGCGGUCAGAUGCCGUGCCUUCGGAGGUGCGGGACUGGCUGGCCUCCACCUUCACCCAGCAGGCCCGGGCCAAAGGCCGCCGAGCAGAGGAGAAGCCCAAGUUCCGAAGCAUUGUGCACGCUGUGCAGGCUGGGAUCUUCGUGGAACGGAUGUUCCGGAGAACAUACACCUCUGUGGGCCCCACUUACUCUACUGCGGUUCUCAACUGUCUCAAGAACCUGGAUCUCUGGUGCUUUGAUGUCUUUUCCUUGAACCGGGCAGCAGAUGACCAUGCCCUGAGGACCAUUGUUUUUGAGUUGCUGACUCGGCAUAACCUCAUCAGCCGCUUCAAGGUUGGGCAGCAUCCUACCUCUACCUCCAGGCAGUAUUCUCCACUCCUCUCAUGCCUGUUCUAAAAGCCUCCCAACAAACAGAUUCCAUAGAUCCCCUCACUCAGUCUCAACAUCAGGGAAGUCUCCCCAUGCCCACGCCCAGCCUAGCCUUUCUUUCACUUGUUGCCUAGGGGGAGAUUCUCGGUCUGCAACCAUCUAGCCUGGGAUUCUGCUCUCUCCCGCUUUGCUUUCUUCCCCCAACUUGUCCUCUCUAGGCUGACUUGCAGUGUGGACACUGGAGGCCUGGAGUUCAGAUGCUGUCAGCCAGUGCCCUUUGGGACUAGAAACCAUGUGUUUCCUGGAUAAAAUUGGCCACUCCCUCCCCCGUCCCCCAGUUCUGGUCUCUGUGUAAGGAAUUAUAUGGAGAAGGUCAGCUCUUGACAGGGCUGGGGUGGGCUUGUAUGACAGGGGGACGGUGUGUGAACUUCAUUUGCUCUUCAGCUUGUCUGGAUGGGAAGAAUUAUGUGAGAUUAAAGUCCUCCCUAGAUCCUGUACCAGGAGGGAGCAUCUUUUGGGAGGGAAAAAGUGCCAGGAAAAAAACAAAACACUUUCACAUGGACAAAUCACAUUUGGAAGUAGAGGGUGAGGAAGGUUGAAGAGCCAUAAUGGGGAUAUUGGGUCAGCACUUUGGGGAGCAGUAGAUGUUAAAGGUGAAGGGAAACAUGGAUGAUCUGAAGGGCCAUAGAGAGGGGCGGUCAAAGGAGUCCAGGUGGAGGGUCCCCUCCCAGGCCGGCUUUGGGAGGUCAUUCCAUCCAUCCUCUGCCUCCACUUCACUAGAACAAAUUAUCUGUGCAUGUGAGCCCUUCCUUCACCCUUGACUCCUCCUUUUACAACUCCCUAGGGAGUUUCCAAAACUUUCCUGAGAUGCUCAGUUGAAAUUUUCUUAAGUGCCUUCCAGAAGCCUGUUCUGCAAUUUUACUUUCUUCUUUCCAAUCCUGCCCUCUCCAGGACAGAGAAUAGUAGGGCUGUCUUUUUCCUAAGACUUUUCCCAGCUCAUGUUUCCCCAAACUGGCUCUCAGACUUCAGUCACUAGAUUCUCCUAAACUCUGCCUCCUUACCUGGAAGGACUGGGUUUGGGGGACCUCAAGAGUAGCUGUUUUGGGUUAGGUUUGGCCCAGUCCCAGUCUGCUUUGCUCCAAGGCAGUUAGAGGAAGGAGGGGGUGCUUCUUGUUUUAGUUUUCUCUGAUGGCAGGGCCAGUAGCAGCUGCCCUUCUCAAACUCCACAUUCUCUUUCCGGGCACCUAGCCCCUCCCCUACUCCUCCCUUUUUCUUCCCUUCCCUCCAGGGACGCCAUGGCAACGCAAAAGCAAGGGCAGUUGUCAUGGAAACAGUCCUUUAAAAUUUCCUGAAUUUGGGGCACAGCCCUCCAGGGGUGCGGGUGGAGGAUGUUAGGGUCUGACUGACUAGUGGUGCUUCUUCUGUGUCUCUGUCACUGUAUUGCUCAUCUCUACAGAAACCUCCCGAGUCCUGAACCUUCGUCCCCUCCUAGCCUCAAGAGAUUCAGGGACAGAUCACCAGUCCUGUCCUCUGGGAGCCUUGAGCCUUUUGAAGGAGGCAGACAUACCCUAAGGACGUACACAGAGACAGGGACCAAAUUCAGAGUAGCUGGACAGAGCUCUGGCUCCUGGUGCUUUUGUGUGUGUUCUGUGGGACUGAGGGUGCGGGUACUGGUGCAUGUAGAGGGUAAGUGGUCAGGGAGGGCUUCUCAAAGGAGAGGGUAACCCACAUCUGGCUGGAAGAGUCCUCUCUAGGUCAUCUUCUUCAUUCCCUUACUUCUGAGCCCUUCUUCAUGGUUUUGGAUGUGGGGAUGGAGUGGGGUGUUUGGAAGGUAGGAGGGAAGCUUUCUUUCAUUUUCUUUGAAAUCUCCAGGGAAAUAAUAAUAAUUAUAGCUAUUCUUUAGAGAGCAUUUACUAAAUGCCUUGUACUUAUCUCAUUAAUUUCCAGGUAGGUGGUAUUAUCUUCAUUCUGCAAUUAAGUAUCUGAGGCACAGAGAGGCAUGUGACUUGCCCAAGGUUGCACAGCCAGCAGGUGGUAGAGGCAGGAGAUGAGCCAGGUUCACCUAACUAGGUCCUGUGCUCUCUCCCUAUGCCACGCUGCCUUCUAAAGAAAGUUGUUGAUCUUGGUCCGUAGUCACCACCAUUCCUGUGGAUCCUUAAUAUAUCUCCAUUUCCCCCAACCCCCCGCAGAUUCCCACUGUGUUUUUGAUGAGUUUCCUGGAUGCCUUGGAGACAGGCUAUGGGAAGUACAAGAAUCCUUACCACAACCAGAUCCACGCAGCCGAUGUUACCCAGACAGUCCAUUGCUUCUUGCUCCGCACAGGGAUGGUGCACUGCCUGUCGGAGAUUGAGCUCCUGGCCAUCAUCUUUGCUGCAGCUAUCCAUGAUUAUGAGCACACGGGCACUACCAACAGCUUCCACAUCCAGACCAAGUCAGAAUGUGCCAUCCUGUACAAUGAUCGUUCAGUGCUGGAGAAUCACCACAUCAGCUCUGUUUUCCGAUUGAUGCAGGAUGAUGAGAUGAACAUUUUCAUCAACCUCACCAAGGAUGAGUUUGUAGAACUCCGAGCCCUGGUCAUUGAGAUGGUGUUGGCCACAGACAUGUCCUGCCAUUUCCAGCAAGUGAAGACCAUGAAGACAGCCUUGCAACAGCUGGAGAGGUGGCAUCUGGUGGGGUGUGGCUGGGGCCAGGCCAGAGGGAGGGGUGUAUGAACUGGGGGGUAUACACAAGGGUAGUUGGUGUGCCAGGUCUUUACCUCACUGUAGAGACUCCACUGGCUUCAGGUAUCAGACUGCAUCUCUGUGUAAGAGUGUGUGUGUGUGUGUGUGUGUGUGUGUGUGUCCUUACGUUUACUCACAGCCUUGGCAGCUGAUCCACUGGAGAGUGCUUUGGGCUGGGAAUCUAAGAUGGGGGUUCUCAUCGCAGCUCUGGGACAGGCUUACUCUAGAAUGUUGGAAAAUUCAUUCAACCCUUCUGCCCCAGUUUUAUUACCUCUGAAAUGGUGAAAAUGAUACACCUCCCCCCACAACAGCUUGCCCCUAGUUCCUAGUCUCAUAGGGUUAUUGGGAAAGUCAUAUGAGGUUUAAAAAAAUGCGUAGGACAAAUGCCAUAAUUACAUCUAAUGUUGCUUAGAAGUGAGUGGGAAUGUAUAAAUGUGUGUGAGAGUGGACUGUGUGUGUGUCCUGAAGGUGUGUGUUAAUCUCUGUGUAUGGUGUUUAUGUGUGGGAUGCAGUGUCACAGCGGGUCAUUGUUGAGAGUAUAAUAAUAAUUAUUACUAUUUUAAAUAAUAUCUACUGAGCACUUAUUAUGUGCUGGACACUCUCCUGAAUACUUAUUUGUUGUUUGUCACUUAAUUCUCAGAACCACUCAAUAUGUGGUAGGGUUGUUAUUUCCAUUUCAGAGUUGAAGAAAAUGAAAUAUGGAAAUUUUAAGUAACUUGCUCAGUGUCACACAGCUAACAUGUGGUAGGUAUAGAUGUGAACCCAGGCAGGCCCUUUGAUUCUAAGAGCCUGGGCUCUCAGCUACUAACCUGUGCUGCUACCUAAACACAUAUAAGUGUGUGUGUGUCUGUGUGUAGGGUAUGUGUGUAGCUUUGGAGGGUGUUUGAAGUUAUGUGAAGCCGGGCGUGGUGGCUCAUGCCUAUAAUUCCAGCACUUUGGGAGGCCGAGGCAGGUGGAUAGCUUGAGGUCAGGAAUUUGAGACCAGCCUGGCCAACAUGGUGAAACACUGUCUCUGCCAAAAAAAUACAAAAAUUAGCUGGGUGUGGUGGCAUGCACGCCUGUAGUCCCAGCUAUUCAGGAGGCUGAGGUGGGAGAAUCACUUGAAUCCAGGUGACAGAGGUUGCAGUGAGCUGAGAUUGUGCCACUGCAGCCAGCCCGGGCAACAGAGUGAGACCCUGUCUC
rnacentral:sRNA from 1 species